UACGGAGGGGGCGAGCGUUAUUCGGAAUUAUUGGGCGUAAAGGGCGCGUAGGCGGCCUUGUAAGUCAAAGGUGAAAUCCCUCGGCUCAACUGAGGAACUGCCUUUGAAACUGCAAGGCUUGAGGCCGGGAGGGGGUAGCGGAAUUCCCAAUGUAGCGGUGAAAUGCGUAGAUAUUCGGAAGAACACCAGUGGCGAAGGCGACUUACUGGACGAUUGUUGACGCUGAGGUGCGAAAGCGUGGGGAGCAAACAGG
rnacentral:rRNA from 1 species